rnacentral:rRNA from 1 species
UGGGGAAUCUUGGACAAUGGGGGUAACCCUGAUCCAGCCAUGCCGCGUGGGUGAAGAAGGCCUUAGGGUUGUAAAGCCCUUUCAGUCGUGACGAUGAUGACGGUAGCGACAGAAGAAGCCCCGGCUAACUCCGUGCCAGCAGCCGCGGUAAUACGGAGGGGGCAAGCGUUGUUCGGAUUUACUGGGCGUAAAGGGCGCGUAGGCGGACUGUUAAGUCAGGGGUGAAAUCCCGGGGCUCAACCCCGGAACUGCCCUUGAUACUGGCAGUCUUGAGUUCGAGAGAGGUGAGUGGAAUUCCGAGUGUAGAGGUGAAAUUCGUAGAUAUUCGGAGGAACACCAGUGGCGAAGGCGGCUCACUGGCUCGAUACUGACGCUGAGGUGCGAAAGCGUGGGGAGCAAACAGGAUUAGAUACCCCUGUAGUCC